CCUACGGGUGGCUGCAGUGGGGAAUAUUGGACAAUGGGGGCAACCCUGAUCCAGCCAUGCCGCGUGUGUGAAGAAGGCCCUCGGGUUGUAAAGCACUUUCAGUGAGGAAGAACGCCUGGUGGUUAAUACCCAUCAGGAAAGACAUCACUCACAGAAGAAGCACCGGCUAACUCCGUGCCAGCAGCCGCGGUAAUACGGAGGGUGCGAGCGUUAAUCGGAAUUACUGGGCGUAAAGCGCGCGUAGGUGGCUUGAUAAGCCGGUUGUGAAAGCCCCGGGCUCAACCUGGGAACGGCAUCCGGAACUGUCAAGCUAGAGUGCAGGAGAGGAAGGUAGAAUUCCCCGUGUAGCGGUGAAAUGCGUAGAGAUCGGGAGGAAUACCAGUGGCGAAGGCGGCCUUCUGGACUGACACUGACACUGAGGUGCGAAAGCGUGGGUAGCGAACAGGAUUAGAUACCCGUGUAGUC
rnacentral:rRNA from 1 species